CAGUCGCCACGGUAAUACGUAGGUGGCAAGCGUUGUCCGGAAUUAUUGGGCGUAAAGGGCUCGCAGGCGGUUUCUUAAGUCUGACGUGAAAGCCCCCGGCUCAACCGGGGAGGGUCAUUGGAAACUGGGAAACUUGAGUGCAGAAGAGGAGAGUGGAAUUCCACGUGUAGCGGUGAAAUGCGUAGAGAUGUGGAGGAACACCAGUGGCGAAGGCGACUCUCUGGUCUGUAACUGACGCUGAGGAGCGAAAGCGUGGGGAGCGAACAGGAUUAGAUACCCGUGUAGUCCCUGUCUCUUAUAC
rnacentral:rRNA from 1 species